rnacentral:rRNA from 1 species
AUUGAACGCUGGCGGCAGGCCUAACACAUGCAAGUCGAGCGGAUGAAGGGAGCUUGCUCCUGGAUUCAGCGGCGGACGGGUGAGUAAUGCCUAGGAAUCUGCCUGGUAGUGGGGGAUAACGUCCGGAAACGGGCGCUAAUACCGCAUACGUCCUGAGGGAGAAAGUGGGGGAUCUUCGGACCUCACGCUAUCAGAUGAGUCUAGGUCGGAUUAGCUAGUUGGUGGGGUAAAGGCCUACCAAGGCGGCGAUUCGUAACUGGUCUGAGAGGAUGAUCAGUCACACGGGAACUGAGACACGGUCCAGACUCCUGCGGGAGGCCGCAGUCGGGAAUAUUGGGCAAUGGGCGAGAGCCUGAUCCAGCCAUGCCGCGUGUGUGCAGAAGGUCUUCUGAUUGUAAAGCACUUUAAGUUGGGAGGAAGGGCAGUAAGUUAAUACCUUGCUGUUUCGACGUUACCAACAGAAUAAGCACCGGCUAACUUCGUG